rnacentral:rRNA from 1 species
GGAUUAACGCUAGCGGCAGGCCUAAUACAUGCAAGUCGAGGGGCAGCAGGGUGUAGCAAUACAUCGCUGGCGACCGGCGCACGGGUGCGUAACACGUAUGCAACCUACCUUUAACUGGGGAAUAGCCCUCCGAAAGGAGGAUUAACACCGCAUAACAUCACGAGACGGCAUCGCCUUGUGAUCAAACCUCCGGGGGUUAAAGAUGGGCAUGCGUCCGAUUAGCUAGUUGGCGGGGUAACGGCCCACCAAGGCGACGAUCGGUAGGGGGUCUGAGAGGAUGAUCCCCCACACUGGUACUGAGACACGGACCAGACUCCUACGGGAGGCAGCAGUAAGGAAUAUUGGACAAUGGUCGCAAGACUGAUCCAGCCAUGCCGCGUGCAGGAUGAACGAUCUAUGAUCUGUAAACUGCUUUUGUUCGGGAAUAAACCCCUUCACGUGUGGAGGGCUGAAUGUACCGAAAGAAUAAGGGUCGGCUAACUUCGUGCCAGCAGCCGCGGUAAGACGAAGGACCCAAGCGUUAUCCGGAUUUAUUGGGUUUAAAGGGUGCGUAGGCGGGUUGUUAAGUCNNNGGUGAAAGCCUAGAGNUUAACUCUAGAAUUGCCAUUGAUACUGACGAUCUUGAGGAUAGUUGAGGUGNNCGGAAUGUAUCAUGUAGCGGUGAAAUGCUUAGAGAUGAUACAGAACACCGAUUGCGAAGGCAGCUCACUAAGCUAUUUCUGACGCUGAGGCACGAAAGCGUGGGGAUCAAACAGGAUUAGAUACCCUGGUAGUCCACGCCCUAAACGAUGAUUACUCGAUGUGUGCGAUAUACUGUACGCGUCUAAGCGAAAGCAUUAAGUAAUCCACCUGGGGAGUACGACCGCAAGGUUGAAACUCAAAGGAAUUGACGGGGGCCCGCACAAGCGGAGGAGCAUGUGGUUUAAUUCGAUGAUACGCGAGGAACCUUACCUGGGCUUAAAUGUAGAGUGCAUUUUCUAGAGAUAGAAAUUCCCUUCGGGGCUUUCUGCAAGGUGCUGCAUGGUUGUCGUCAGCUCGUGCCGUGAGGUGUCGGGUUAAGUCCCAUAACGAGCGCAACCCUUAUCGUUAGUUGCCAGCUGGUAAAGCAGGGGACUCUAGCGAAACUGCCACCGUAAGGUGAGAGGAAGGUGGGGAUGACGUCAAAUCAGCACGGCCCUUAUGUCCAGGGCUACACACGUGUUACAAUGGCCGGUACAGAGGGCUGCUACCUGGUGACAGGAUGCUAAUCUCGAAAACCGGUCUCAGUUCGGAUCGAAGUCUGCAACUCGACUUCGUGAAGCCGGAUUCGCUAGUAAUCGCGCAUCAGCAACGGCGCGGUGAAUACGUUCCCGGGCCU